UACGGAGGGUGGCGAGCGUUGUCCGGAAUCGACUGGGCGUAAAGGGCGCGUAGGUGGCCUGUGGAAGUCUGCGGUGAAAGCCCGGCGCUCAACGCCGGGGUCGGCCGUGGAUACUCUCGGGCUCGAGCUUACUAGAGGCAGAUGGAAUUCCGGGUGUAGCGGUGGAAUGCGUAGAGAUCCGGAAGAACACCGGUGGCGAAGGCGGUCUGCUGGGGUAAUGCUGGACACUGAUGCGCGACAGCGGUGGGGAGCAAACAGGAUUAGAGU
rnacentral:rRNA from 1 species